CUGGUUGAUCCUGCCGGAGAUCACCGCUAUUAGAGUUCCACUAACCCAUGCGAGUUCCUGGGUAAAACCAGAGCGAACGGCUGAGUAACACGUAGUUAACAUCACUUUAGGUGGCGAAUAACCUUGGGAAACUGAGAUGAAUACGCCAUAGUCAAUUAUGCCUGGAACGGUUUAUUGACCAAAGCUUCGGCGCCUAAAGAUUAGACUGCGGUGGAUUAGGUAGAUGUUAGGGUAAUGACCUGACAUGCCAAUAAUCCAUAGGGGCCAUGAAAGUGGUGGCCUCCAGAUGGAUUCUGAGACACGAAUCCAGGCCCUAUGGGGCGCAGCAGGGGGGAAAACUCCGCAAUGCACGAAAGUGUGACGGGGGAACUCUAAGUGCCAGCACACCGCUAGGGCUUUUCAUUAGUCCAAAUCGCUAGUGGAAUAAGUGGGGGGUAAGACCGUUGCCAGCCGCCGCGGUAAUAACGGCUCCACAAGUGGUGAUCACGUAUAUUGGGUCUAAAGCAUUCGUAGCCGGUUUGUUAAGUCUUCUGUGAAAUCUGGCAGAAAACUGUCAGGCGUGCAGGAGAUACUGGCAAGCUUGGGACCGGGAGGAGCCUGGAGUACUUUUAGGGUAGGGGUAAAAUCCUGUAAUCCUAAAGGGACUACCUGUGGCGAAGGCGCCAGGCUAGAACGGAUUCGACGGUGAGGAAUGAAAGCGAGGGGAGCAAAGGGGAUUAGAAAUACCCCCGUAGUCCUCGCUGUAAACGAUGCCCGCUUGGUAUUGGAAGUUGCUAGACUUCUUCCAGUGCCGUAGGGAAGCCAUUGAGCGGGCCACCUGGGAAGUACAGUCGCAAGGCUGAAGCUUAAAGGAAUUGGCGGGGGAGCACACAAGGGGUGCGGUUUGCGGUUCAAUUGGAUUCAACGCCGGGAACCUCACCAGGGGUGACAGCAGUAUGAUGGUCAGUCUGAAGGGCUUACCUGACGCGCUGAGAGGUAUUGCAUGGCCGUCGUCAGCUCGUGCCGCGAAAGGUGUCCUGUUAAGUCAGGUAACGAGCGAGACCCACGCCGUAUGUUGCCAGCUGUUUCUUCGGAAGCGGCGCACUCAUGCGGGACUGCCCGUGCUAAAUGGGGGGAAGGAGUGGUCAACGGUAGGUCAGUAUGGUCCGAAUCCCCUGGGCUACACGCGGGCGCCAAUGGCAAGGACAAUAGGAUGCAACUCCGAAAGGAGGAGCUAAUCCCUGAACCCUUGUCUCAGUACAGAUUGAGGGUUGCAACUCACCCUCAUGACGCCGGAAUCCCUAGUAGGCGAAUGUUAGCAUCUUUCGUCGAAUACGUCCCCGCUCCUAGCGCACAC
rnacentral:rRNA from 1 species